AACGAACGCUGGCGGCAUGCCUAACACAUGCAAGUCGAACGAGACCUUCUGCUUUCCUUUCUCACUUGUGGGUACUCCAUUGGCACCUGCCUUUGUGUUCCGUAUAUCUUCUCCAACGGGCUUCUAUUUCCGGCUAAUGUCCUCGGUCUAAUUAUUUAUCGCCCUUCGAUGUGCCCGCGUUGGUUUAGCUCGUUUGUAUGGUAAAAGCCUACCAAGUCGCCGAUUCAUAGCUGGUCUGUGAGGUUGAUCAGCGACACUGGGACUGAGACACGGCACAGACUCGUACGAGAGGAAGCAGUGGGGAAGAUUGGAGAAUGGGCGAAAGGCUGAUCCAGAAAUGCCGCGUGAGGGAUGAAGGCCUUAGGGUUGUAAAGCUCUUUUAGCCGGGAUGAUAAUGACAGUACCGGGAGAAUAAGCACCGGCUAACUACGUG
rnacentral:rRNA from 1 species